rnacentral:rRNA from 1 species
CAUUACCGAGUGCGGGUCCUUUGGGCCCAACCUCCCAUCCGUGUCUAUUGUACCCUGUUGCUUCGGCGGGCCCGCCGCUUGUCGGCCGCCGGGGGGGCGCCUCUGCCCCCCGGGCCCGUGCCCGCCGGAGACCCCAACACGAACACUGUCUGAAAGCGUGCAGUCUGAGUUGAUUGAAUGCAAUCAGUUAAAACUUUCAACAAUGGAUCUCUUGGUUCCGGCAUCGAUGAAGAACGCAGCGAAAUGCAAUAACUAAUGUGAAUUGCAGAAUUCAGUGAAUCAUCGAGUCUUUGAACGCACAUUGCGCCCCCUGGUAUUCCGGGGGGCAUGCCUGUCCGAGCGUCAUUGCUGCCCUCAAGCCCGGCUUGUGUGUUGGGUCGCCGUCCCCCUCUCCGGGGGGACGGGCCCGAAAGGCAGCGGCGGCACCGCGUCCGAUCCUCGAGCGUAUGGGGCUUUGUCACAUGCUCUGUAGGAUUGGCCGGCGCCUGCCGACGUUUUCCAACCAUUCUUUCCAGGUUGACCUCGGAUCAGGUAGGGAUACCCGCUGAA